UGCAGUCGACGGUGAAGAGAGCUUGCUCUCUGGAUCAGUGGCGAACGGGUGAGUAACACGUGAGCAAUCUGCCCCUGACUCUGGGAUAAGCGCUGGAAACGGCGUCUAAUACCGGAUACGAGCUGCGAAGGCAUCUUCAGCAGCUGGAAAGAACUUCGGUCAGGGAUGAGCUCGCGGCCUAUCAGCUAGUUGGUGAGGUAAAGGCUCACCAAGGCGUCGACGGGUAGCCGGCCUGAGAGGGUGACCGGCCACACUGGGACUGAGACACGGCCCAGACUCCUACGGGAGGCAGCAGUGGGGAAUAUUGCACAAUGGGCGCAAGCCUGAUGCAGCAACGCCGCGUGAGGGACGACGGCCUUCGGGUUGUAAACCUCUUUUAGCAGGGAAGAAGCGAAAGUGACGGUACCUGCAGAAAAAGCACCGGCUAACUACGUGCCAGCAGCCGCGGUAAUACGUAGGGUGCAAGCGUUAUCCGGAAUUAUUGGGCGUAAAGAGCUCGUAGGCGGUUUGUCGCGUCUGCUGUGA
rnacentral:rRNA from 1 species